CAGUAGCCGCGGUAAAACGAGGGGGGCAAGCGUUGUUCGGAAUUAUUGGGCGUAAAGGGUGCGUAGGCGGCUUGACAAGUCUUGUGUGAAAUCUAUGGGCUCAACCCAUAGUCUGCACGGGAAACUGUCGGGCUUGAGAAUGGGAGAGGUGAGUGGAAUUUCCGGUGUAGCGGUGAAAUGCGUAGAUAUCGGAAGGAACACCUGUGGCGAAAGCGGCUCACUGGACCAUUUCUGACGCUGAUGCACGAAAGCUAGGGGAGCAAACAGGAUUAGAGACCCCGGUAGUCCCUGUCUCUUAUAC
rnacentral:rRNA from 1 species